rnacentral:rRNA from 1 species
GAUGAACGCUAGCUACAGGCUUAACACAUGCAAGUCGAGGGGCAGCAGGGAUUUAGCUUGCUAAAUUCGCUGGCGACCGGCGCACGGGUGCGUAACGCGUAUCCAACUUUCCCGUUACUCUCGGAUAGCCUUCCGAAAGGGAGAUUCAAUGAUGAAAGAUUCAUCGGUUAUGGAUGGGGAUGCGUAAGAUUAGGUAGUAGGCGGGGUAACGGCCCACCUAGCCGACGAUCUUUAGGGGUUCUGAGAGGAAGGUCCCCCACACUGGUACUGAGACACGGACCAGACUCCUACGGGAGGCAGCAGUGAGGAAUAUUGGUCAAUGGGCGGAAGCCUGAACCAGCCAAGUAGCGUGAAGGAUUACAGCCCUACGGGUUUUAAACUUCUUUUAUAUGAGAGUAAUGUGCACUACGUGUAGUGUAUUGCAAGUAUCAUAUGAAUAAGCAUCGGCUAACUCCGUG